rnacentral:rRNA from 1 species
CAGCAGCCACGGGAAUACAGAGGGUGCGAGCGUUAAUCGGAUUUACUGGGCGUAAAGCGUGCGUAGGCGGCUUCUUAAGUCGGAUGUGAAAUCCCUGAGCUUAACUUAGGAAUUGCAUUCGAUACUGGGAAGCUAGAGUAUGGGAGAGGAUGGUAGAAUUCCAGGUGUAGCGGUGAAAUGCGUAGAGAUCUGGAGGAAUACCGAUGGCGAAGGCAGCCAUCUGGCCUAAUACUGACGCUGAGGUACGAAAGCAUGGGGAGCAAACAGGAUUAGAGACCCCCGUAGUCCCUGUCUCUUAUAC